UAGCUCAGUGGUAGAGCACAUGCUUGGCAUGCACGAGGUCCUGGGUUCAAUCCUCAG
rnacentral:tRNA from 1 species